GUGGACCGGCCCCCUGCUUAAAAAGUUUGAGGAAGGUGGAGAAGGACCCCUGGGCUAAGUGCUGCCGCGCGCCCCCUAUCGGUCCGCUCUCCGCAUAGCAACGGGGGAACCACAGCGGAGGAGGAGGAGAGCGGGCUCCCCCUGCAGGCCGAGAGUGGGAGGACGCGCCGGCGCUUGAGAACGGGCGAGCGCUUAUUCAGAGCCGGAGCGAGCGGGAGGCAGCGAGAGCGCGAGCGAGCGAGCGAGCGGGGCCACGGACGGCGCUGGCUCCUCUGUGGAGCUUCACCCGCCGCAAAGGCAAGGACAGCACCGGCAGCAGGCUUCCCAGCGGGGACCCCGUCGCCUGGCCUUCGCGGUGGAGGACGCGGGGCUCGCAUGCAGGCAGCCGCGCUCCCUCGGCGCCCGCCCGCAACUCCGGGCUGCGUUUGCCCUGCCGGCUGGCCGCGUCCUCCCCCUCCCUGCCCUCCCCUCCUUCCCUCCCUCCACCGGCGGGGCGGCCCCUCGCCUGCCCUUCCUUGAAGCCUGGGAGCCCUCCCGCCGCCGCCGCUGCUCUUCCCGAUGGGGGUCCGGGAGUUCCCCAACGGAACGGCCAGGGGCAAGACCAUCGCCAUUGGCAUGAGGAGAUCUCCCGACGUCAGCCCCCGGCGGCUGUCAGACAUCAGCCCUCAACUCCGGCAGCUCAAGUACCUGGUGGUGGAUGAAGCCAUCAAAGAGGAUUUGAAAUGGUCCCGCUCGGUGGAGGACCUCACUUCCGUGGGGCUCACGUCCAUCGAGGAAAGGAUCCUGCGGAUCACGGGCUAUUAUGGCUACCAGCCCUGGGCAGCCAGCUACAAAAGUAAGGCUCUGGCUUUUCUGCCUUUCUCUCCUCUUCCAAAACAGCAGCUCCCGCUUCUCUCUCUCUAUCCUCUUUCCCACAUAUUCACUAUCUGUCAGCAAAGGAAACACUCUUUGCAAGUUGUCUGGAGAAGGGUAGGGUUGUACGCUGGAAUUAACCCUGACAGUCCUAUCCUUGAUAUAUCAAGAAAUGGAAUCUCGUGUCUUGCAUUAUCAAAACGGAUCAGAAAUCACCUUUGCCCACCAGCUAUUUGCUUCUGCUCCUUUGCCUCCAUUCUCUUUCUUCCUCUCCAUCUGAUGAAAGCCAUGCUUACCAUCCUGUUCCAGGAUGAUGAAAAGGAGAUCAGGUGGUGGGUGGGGAGCUGGGGGUGGAGGGAUUUGCUCUCUUUCUGUGCCUGUGUGGCUGGUGUUUCAAAACAUUGUGACAAUGUUGGGAGCUAUAUCCCAAUUUAUGUAAGAUGUGAUGAUCAGCGGAACUUUCUCAUUGCCUAGAAAAAGGUUAUUGUAUGAACAAAAG
rnacentral:lncRNA from 11 species